UGAGGAGUAAGUAGUAGGAAAAAGCGGAUGAUAGCAUUGGAAGGGAUAAUAAAUUUUUGUGGGAAAUGAGGGGAAGAGGGAAACGAGCAACUGGGGAAAUUGAUAGGAAGAACGUUGAUGGUAUUGUUAAGUGAAUGAAUAGAAACUCAGAGACUCUCACAAAUCAUUUAAAAAAAUUUUCACUAGUCGAAAGUUUUUACGGUAUUAUUAUUUUCAUCUUUUCAAAGCAUUAUCCCAGUCUUACCACGAGAUGUUCCUACAUAAUAUGCUGCGCUUUUCAUAAAAGCACAUAUCCUGCAAAUAUCUCUUCCAUUUAAGAUUAUUUCGUUUAUGCCUUACCCAUGGAUCUACGAUUGAUAUCGAAGUUUGAUUGAAUUAUGAUUUCUUUGAUACAAUCACGAGUUAUGUAAAUGAUAUCUGUUGUGUUCUCGUUUUAGUAUAUUGGGUUUAACCUUUUCAAAUUUGUUGCUAAAUUUAUAUGGCACAGAUCAGAGGUCGAACCCUUUUAUUAUUGAACUACUUCUUCUUCGGCAGCUCUCUAGUUGAGUAGCUGGCAGUUAUGCUUACCAUAAUUGAUUAGACAUAUCAAUGAACUUAAGCAUGUAGCGGUGCUCGACCGUUCAGACUAAAAUAACAAGGUAGGGUCAUUGGAGAAAAAAUCAUAAAGAAAGACAUUUCGAUAUUUUGCAACGUCGGGAAGCAAAUUGGCUGGGGUAAUAACAACGACCGUUCUCAUUAGUUUGAACUUAUUAAAAAGGGGAAAUAGUCAUUGAAGCACUUAGUUUUUGUUUUGAAUGCUAAAAUGGUAUAAUACGUCUGUCUUACUAAAUAUAGCUACCAGUCUAU
rnacentral:misc_RNA from 1 species